GUAAAAAUUUAAUUAUUAUUUUUAUAUAUAAUUAAUAUCUUUAGGGUUUGCCAAAACUUUGGUGGUCGGUCAGCAAAUUCCAGAAGAAAAUAUCCCAGUUAGUUUAAGCCCAGCCAAAAUACCCCAAAAUAAAAAAUACCCUAAAAAAACUAACGCGCUACAAAAUAUUCCAAUUACAAAUAUCCAAUACCGAAAGAUCCCAACAAAAAGGUCACAAGAUAAACAAAUCCCAUAUCUAACAUAGUGUUAAAAUAUUUUCCGCUCUUUAUAAUUUGUUUUAAAUGACUAUUAUCGCUAUAUUCAUUCAAUAUUUAGGCUUAAUAUAUGUCAUUACUAUAUAUGUACAUUAGUAUAGUCUGAAGUACAAUAACGCAGUCCCAAUAUCUGAGGUGCAAGUAAACAGUACACGUCGGUCAAACCUCUAAAAAUAUUUUAUUUUAUUGUAUAAUAAAUACUAAGUAGCCAUCGAUAUAUAGAUCUUAGUGAAUAAUAUUGAAAAAUGCCUUUGGAAUUUAUUAUCAACCAGAAAGGAAGUAAAAAUCUUCAUUUGGAGGGAUUUAUAUACACCGCAAAUCAGACGAAAAAGUCACAUGGCGAUCUGUUAAUUACAAUACAAAGAAAUGCAUAGCACGUGUUUAUACUAGCAAUAUGGAAGAUGAUGGUGUUGUAUUAUCGAGAACUGAGCAAAAUCAUUUACCAAAUGUGGCAAUGGUUCAAGCGAGUAAGGUUAUUGCAAAUAUAAUAUAAGAGACAUGGCUUCGACAUCAAAUAUGCCAACAAGCCAUCAAACACUGUUCGUAAUAUGUCACAGUCAACCGCCAGACAAUUAACUAUCCGUUCAAAUGUUAGUCGUACCAUUUGUCGAAUUCGUGUUGAUAUAACAUAUAUAGUAGCUCCAGCCACUCCGACAACAAUCGCUCAACUCGUUAUUGGUAAUGAAUAUAAGAAUACUGCGAAGGAUGAAGUGUGUUAAUGUUGUGAUUCUUGCGAUCAACAAGUUAAAUGUAAGGAAAGAUUUUGAAUUUUUGCAACUCAGCAAAAUUUAAAUCUGUUACGCUCAAGUGAUCGAUGGUAUACCGAUGGUACUUUUCGGACCGUACCUAAUAUAUAAUAUUUUAUCAGUUAUACAAGUAUACGAUACAUGGAUCGAUUAAAGGUAGAGUAAUGCAUUACAUUAGAACCUCGACUGCUAUUAAAAAGGUAUUUCCGGAUUGUUCUAAUAAAGGAUGCGUAUUUCAUUAUGCGCAGUGUAUUCUUCGUAAAAAGAAGUUGUGGACUCCAUCUUUCGUACCAACGUGGUGGUGAUAACGCCAUGCACAUGAAGAUGUUUUAUGCCUUAGUGUACGGUCCUGUUUCUAACGUUCUUUCUGUUUACGAGUCUAUGAUAAAAAUAAAAUUUUUUGUAAAUCAUGAAGAUGAGUUGAGUGAAUUUUUGGUUUAUAUGGAGAAUACUUUGAUUGGUAAGCAAACUCGUCGCGGCGAACGCCAACUUGGCACAUAAGACAUCGCAGUAUGAAAUCACUAUAAGUCAACCGUCGUUCAAGUAAAGCGAUCAAACAAUGCGAUAGAGGGGUGGCACUAUGCGUUCAAUAUUCGCAUCCAAAAUACUUACGUAGAGAUAUGAGCAUUUAUAGAAUUUCGAACACUAUGUUCGAGAUGAGCAAGCGUAAAUGGAGUUCGAAUUGAAAUAAUCGUGAGGAGCGUCCAGCUAAGAAACGUAAAUACCAAAAUCACGAUCGUCGUCUCCUAAAUGUUGUUAAAUCCUAGGAUAAUGUCGAGCAGUUAGAGUAUUUACGUUGGGUAGCUCAUAAUCUUGAAUAUUAGUAUUGAUCUUAAUAUUUAUUAUAAAAGUAUGUAAUUAUUGAAAAUAUAUUAAUAACGAUAUUUAUUGUAAAUAUA